rnacentral:rRNA from 1 species
GUAAGGAAUAUUGGUCAAUGGACGAAAGUCUGAACCAGCCAUGCCGCGUGGAGGAUGAAGGUCCUCUGGAUUGUAAACUUCUUUUAUUUGGGACGAAAAAAGGGCAUUCUUGCUCACUUGACGGUACCAGAUGAAUAAGCACCGGCUAACUCCGUGCCAGCAGCCGCGGUAAUACGGAGGGUGCAAGCGUUAUCCGGAUUCACUGGGUUUAAAGGGUGCGUAGGCGGGCAUUUAAGUCAGCGGUGAAAUCCCCGAGCUUAACUUGGGAACUGCCGUUGAUACUAUUUGUCUUGAAUGUCGUGGAGGUCAGCGGAAUAUGUCAUGUAGCGGUGAAAUGCUUAGAUAUGACAUAGAACACCUAUUGCGAAGGCAGCUGACUACGCGAUUAUUGACGCUGAGGCACGAAAGCGUGGGGAUCAAACAGGAUUAGAUACCCCAGUAGUCC